AUUGAACGCUGGCGGCAUGCUUUACACAUGCAAGUCGAACGAGUGGCGCACGGGUGAGUAAUACAUCGGAACAUGUCCUAUCGUAGGGGGUAACUGAUCGAAAAAUCAGCUAAUACCGCAUACGAUUUGAGCGGCCGAUGCACGAGUAGCUAGUUGGUGGGGUAAAGGCUCACAACGGCGACGAUCGGUAGCUGGUCUGAGAGGACGACACGCCACACUGGAACUGAGACACGGCCCAGAUUCCUACGGGAGGCAGCAGUGGGGAAUAUUGCACAAUGGGCGCAAGCCUGAUGCAGCCAUGCCGCGUGUAUGAAGAAGGCCUUAGGGUUGUAAAGUACUUUCAGCGAGGAGGCGUUACCCGCAGAAGAAGCACCGGCUAACUCCGUGCCAGCAGCCGCGGUAAUAC
rnacentral:rRNA from 1 species